CGGGCACGUGCCAAGGGCCUGGGUCAGGCGUGAGCCUGCGCGGCCGGGGCAAGGGAGGGGGAGUGAGCGAGUGCAUGGGGGUGUGACCAGCGGGGCGCUGACCGUGCACCCGUGAGUGCAGGCACAAGUCUACAAAGGAGGUGGCACAAUGGGUGUGUCAAGGCGGGAUCGGAAGAGGGAAGCCAGUUUUCCUGCUUUUUUUACAGCUCUCCGGCCGUGUGUUCUUUGCCCGAGACUGUCACUGAACUGAACGAGCCGAGUAGAUGGAACCGAAGAAAAUGUCGUCUCUGCAGGAGGCGAACGCUGUAGAAAGCUGGUUCAACCCUUCACUAGCUGCUGGUUCUGGGUGCUGAGCCGGGACUCCAGCCAGGGCAGUGGGGAGACGUUUGAGAAAAGGCAGGUACCUGCAGACGGUGAUCGAGUCACCCUCCCCCCCAACCAAUGGAGCAGCCCCCUCCAGGGCCCUGUUUCUGACCCUUCAGUUCUUCUUGGAGCCUCUCCCACAGAUCCCCGGCCUCGUGGAGCUGCGGGUCCCCGCACCGGAGCCAGGACCCAGCACCAAACACCGAGCUUACUGAUGAAAAAGUGAAACAGUCCCUGGCCAAGAAACAACCUCAUCAGCAGGACCCCACUAGCCUCGCCCCCUUGCUCCAGGCUGGUUUCCUGAUCUCAGCUAUGUUCUGAGACCAAACACUUAGAUGGUUUUUAGUAUAUUUAAUGUUGGACUGGGGGGCUUUACUUACCCAGGUCAUCCCAUUUACCCUUUUCAAACAUUGGUACAACAUUAGCUUUCCUCCACAAUUCUGGAACUUCCCCAGUAUUCAAGAGUUGUUGACAAUCACCAUUAAUGGCCCAGUGAGUUUCUCAGCCAGCUCUUUUAAAACUCUUGGUUUCCAGUUAUGUGAACCUGCUGAUUUUAAAAGUGUCUCUGAAGUUAUAGAAUGUAAAAUGUUUCAUUAUAAGCUAUGGCUGCCUCAUGUAUUUUUCUUAAAAACAACAGAAAUAUUAAUUGGA